AAAGAAACAAAUUCAAUGUGUUAUUGAAGGUUAUUCAAACACCAAAGUUUUCUAGAGCUACAAAGUUUUGUAGCUCUAGAAACUCGAAUAGAAUAAUUUGCAACACACUUCGAUGUCCUUCAGCCUCUUGCAAAGUUAAAUGCUUCCAACAGUGCCUUGCUUUUGCCAUUUUCUAAGGAAUCUUGGGAUAAAUAGCCAACUCAUUUAUAGGUAGUCAGGAAAAGGUGUAUUGAUUAGAUGGACUGGAGGCUGGACACAGCUGUCAGCAAUCCAAAGAUGCAACAUGCAGACUGACCUUUUGCUCCAAAAUUUAAAAUCAAAAUGCAGCUCCUCUCUGUGGACAUGGAUGGAUCCAGAAUGGAAGAUAAGUCUGUGAGGUCCAGUGAAUCUUGGAGCUGUGUGUGUGGGUGCUUCCCUGAAGGAGUUUCCAGUGAAAUAGAUACAGCUGAGCUGACUGCAGCACUUCUUUCUAGAGCAGAGCUGUCAAGAGGAUGAAUGAAUACUAUGGUGCUGCUUGGUGCCCACUUCAGAGAGGCAAUCCUGUUCCUCCUAGUCAGUAGCAUGACGUUUUCUUCUCUGAACUGAACUGGAUUUGUAAGCCCUUAAUGUUAAAAUUUUUGUCUAAAAUUAAUAAGCAUCCACCCCCUUAAAAAUCUCAUUAAAAUUUGUUUUUGGCAGGUUGCCUCCCAGAGUCUUGACAGCACUUUGGGUGCUGAUGAUCUGAUCAGAGUGUCUUCUCAUUCCCUCCUCCUUCCCCAUCUGUUU
rnacentral:lncRNA from 1 species